UGUUGGGUAGGGGAGCGUUCUGUAAGCCUGCGAAGGUGUGCUGUGAGGCAUGCUGGAGGUAUCAGAAGUGCGAAUGCUGACAUAAGUAACGAUAAAGCGGGUGAAAAGCCCGCUCGCCGGAAGACCAAGGGUUCCUGUCCAACGUUAAUCGGGGCAGGGUGAGUCGACCCCUAAGGCGAGGCCGAAAGGCGUAGUCGAUGGGAAACAGGUUAAUAUUCCUGUACUUGGUGUUACUGCGAAGGGGGGACGGAGAAGGCUAUGUUGGCCGGGCGACGGUUGUCCCGGUUUAAGCGUGUAGGCUGGUUUUCCAGGCAAAUCCGGAAAAUCAAGGCUGAGGCGUGAUGACGAGGCACUACGGUGCUGAAGCAACAAAUGCCCUGCUUCCAGGAAAAGCCUCUAAGCAUCAGGUAACAUCAAAUCGUACCCCAAACCGACACAGGUGGUCAGGUAGAGAAUACCAAGGCGCUUGAGAGAACUCGGGUGAAGGAACUAGGCAAAAUGGUGCCGUAACUUCGGGAGAAGGCACGCUGAUAUGUAGGUGAAGUCCCUUGCGGAUGGAGCUGAAAUCAGUCGAAGAUACCAGCUGGCUGCAACUGUUUAUUAAAAACACAGCACUGUGCAAACACGAAAGUGGACGUAUACGGUGUGACGCCUGCCCGGUGCCGGAAGGUUAAUUGAUGGGGUCAGCGCAAGCGAAGCUCUUGAUCGAAGCCCCGGUAAACGGCGGCCGUAACUAUAACGGUCCUAAGGUAGCGAAAUUCCUUGUCGGGUAAGUUCCGACCUGCACGAAUGGCGUAAUGAUGGCCAGGCUGUCUCCACCCGAGACUCAGUGAAAUUGAACUCGCUGUGAAGAUGCAGUGUACCCGCGGCAAGACGGAAAGACCCCGUGAACCUUUACUAUAGCUUGACACUGAACAUUGAGCCUUGAUGUGUAGGAUAGGUGGGAGGCUUUGAAGUGUGGACGCCAGUCUGCAUGGAGCCGGCCUUGAAAUACCACCCUUUAAUGUUUGAUGUUCUAACGUGGACCCGUGAUCCGGGUUGCGGACAGUGUCUGGUGGGUAGUUUGACUGGGGCGGUCUCCUCCUAAAGAGUAACGGAGGAGCACGAAGGUUGGCUAAUCCUGGUCGGACAUCAGGAGGUUAGUGCAAUGGCAUAAGCCAGCUUGACUGCGAGCGUGACGGCGCGAGCAGGUGCGAAAGCAGGUCAUAGUGAUCCGGUGGUUCUGAAUGGAAGGGCCAUCGCUCAACGGAUAAAAGGUACUCCGGGGAUAACAGGCUGAUACCGCCCAAGAGUUCAUAUCGACGGCGGUGUUUGGCACCUCGAUGUCGGCUCAUCACAUCCUGGGGCUGAAGUAGGUCCCAAGGGUAUGGCUGUUCGCCAUUUAAAGUGGUACGCGAGCUGGGUUUAGAACGUCGUGAGACAGUUCGGUCCCUAUCUGCCGUGGGCGCUGGAGAACUGAGGGGGGCUGCUCCUAGUACGAGAGGACCGGAGUGGACGCAUCACUGGUGUUCGGGUUGUCAUGCCAAUGGCACUGCCCGGUAGCUAAAUGCGGAAGAGAUAAGUGCUGAAAGCAUCUAAGCACGAAACUUGCCCCGAGAUGAGUUCUCCCUGACCCUUUAAGGGUCCUGAAGGAACGUUGAAGACGACGACGUUGAUAGGCCGGGUGUGUAAGCGCAGCGAUGCGUUGAGCUAACCGGUACUAAUGAACCGUGAG
rnacentral:rRNA from 1 species